CCCCAUAGAGCCCCAUAGAGACCCCACACUGCCCCAUAGAGACCCCGCAGACCCCAUAGAGACCCCGCAGACCCCAUAGAGACCCCGCAGACGCCAUAAGCCCCCAUAGAAACCCAUGGAGACCCCACAGACCCCCAUAGAGACCCCUAUAGCCCCAUAGAGACCCCAUAGAGACCCAUAGAGACCCCACAGUGCCUCAUAGAAACCCCAUAGAGACCCCACAGAGCCCCAUAGAGCACCAUAAAGCCCCAUACAGACCCCAUAGAGACCCAUAGAUUCCCCACAUUGCCCCAUAGAAACCCCAUAGAGCCCCACAGAGACCCCAUAGAGCCCCAUAGAGACCCCACAGACCCCAUAGAGACCCCAUAGACCCCAUAGUGCCCCACAGACCCCCAUAGAAACUCAUGGAGACCCCAUAGAGCCCCAUAGAGACCCCACAGAGCCCCAUAGAGCCCCUAUAGAGACGCCACGGAGCCCCCAUAGAGACCCCACGGAGCCCCCAUAGACCCCCAUAGACCCCCAUAGAGCCCCAUAGAGACCCCAUAGAGCCCCAUAGAGACCCCACAGACCCCAUAGAGACCCCACGCAGCCCCCAUAGAGCCCCAUGGAGAUCCCAUAGACCCCCAUAGAGCCCCAUAGACCCCCAUAGAGCCCCGUAGACACCCAUAGAGACCCCACACUGCCCCAUAGAGACCCCACAGACCGCAUAGAGACCCAUGGAGACCCCAUAGAGACCUCACAUUGCCCCAUAGAGACCCCACAGACCCCAUAGAGCCCCUAUAGAGACCCCACGGAGCCCCCAUAGAGACCCCACGGAGCCCCCAUAGACCCCCAUAGAGCCCCAUAGAGACCCCACACUGCCCCAUAGAGACCCAUAGAGCCCCUAUAGAGACCCCACGGAGCCCCCAGAGAGACCGCACGGAGCCCCCAUAGACCCCCAUAGAGCCCCAUAGAGACCCC
rnacentral:lncRNA from 1 species